GCACUUCUCUCUUCUGCCUCCUAGUGAAAAAGGUGCCUGCUUCUUCUUCUGCCAUAAGUUUCCUGAGGCUUCCCCAGCCGUGCGUAACUGAGUGAGGACCUAGAAUUUUAAUGUCUAAUAUGCGGUGUGAAUUAAAGAAGUGGCCUUGCUAUGCUGACCUUUUCAAUAUUCUAAUCUUUGCUUUGCUGACCUCUCAGGCCUCUUCCUGGCAACAGUUAGGCUUUUGAGAGGAGGGAGAGCUGAGACUGUUGGCUCCUUCCCAUUUAUGAGAGAGCCACAUGACAUCAGCCCAUAGACUGUGGAGAGUAUUCCAGAUCUAUCACAUUCUGCGAUUCUGCGAUUCCCAGAAGGCUGGUCAUGAAAAAAUUCCCUCUUCAGUUUACAUAUAUGGCAGUGAUGCACAACAUUGUUCUUUUGGUUGUGAAUACUUCGAAGAAGUAGAUGUGGUCCUGGUUGAUGGAUGAACAUUGAGGCCCUCAAGUGCAUAAAGCUCCAGUGCCAUGACAGUUUUAAUCUUCUGGUUCCAUCUGCAUAGAUUUCAGUCUCUAAUUGAGGAAAAUCAUCUGUUUUUCUCAGGAGCCCCUUGAUUCAAGUUUAUACAAAAUGUGCCUUUGGAGACUAUCCUGUUAAUUAAAACAGUUCAGAUCCCACUUGUAUGUGAGACAGAUGCUUCUCUGGCCAUCAGCCAGGUACCACUAAAGGAGGUACAGGCACUUCUAGAUAUCUGUUGAGGCCUGGAAGGGGCAAAACAAUUCAGGAAGCAGUUGAAGAUAAAGGGGUUUACCAUGGAAGAGAAGAUCCAGGUGCCUUCAUGGAAAUGCUUGUGGUUGAAAAGAGAUGAAGAUGAGGGUCCCUGGAAAGAGGAAGAACCAGCCAGGAAAAUUAUACCAUUAGCAAGACUGGCAUCAGCAAGUAGUUCGCAGUGUUGGUUGUUCUUGGUUUCGCAGGAUUUUAUAGGAGGUUACAAAUAAAAUAUUGGAUAGAAGCAUAUGGAACAUUUCAUCAUGCUUGCAUUUUAGUCUGAUGAACAGUCACCAACACAACCUUAUUUGGAAGAAUUAGAGUUCAAGACCAUCCAUACCCUCUAAGCAGGAGGGAGAAGCAUAGGUUAUCCUGUUUCUGCCACAGGUGGAAUGACUUCCUUACCAAAGGGUAGGAAGGAGAGAACAGCAUGACUAAUGUACUCCAGGUGGCUAGUAGUGAUAAAAAUACUACUUUUUUUUUUUUUUUUUUUUUUUUUUUUUGAGACGUAGUCUCACUCUGUUGCCCAGGCUGGAGUGCAGUGGCGUGAUCUCAGCUCACAGCAACCUCCCCCUCCCAGGUUCAAGUGAUUCUCCUGUCUCAGCCUCCCAGAUAGGUAGAAUCACAGGCAUGCUCCACCACAUCCGGCUAAUUUUUGUAUUUUUAGUAGAGAUGGGGUUUCGCCAUGUUGGCCAGGCUGGUUUCAGACUCCUGACCUCAGGUGAUCUUCUCACCUCAGCCUCCCAAAGUGCUGAGAUUACAGGUAUGAGCCACCAUGCCUGCCCAAAAAAUUGCUACUUAAUCUAAGCAGAACUAAUUUAGGUAGAAAAGUUAGAAACCUAAUUUUGAUUGCAAAAGAUUUUGUUCUUAUUCAUUCACUGCUAUAUGAAAUAUUUUUAUCAGAAUUCAAAGCAUGCCAGGGUUAUGUUUAAAAGGAGACUUAAACAAUCCUUUUACAGAGAUAACUGUGAGCUAAAUUCACAGAAAGCUGUAAUCGAGUGGUAUGAGCAUCUCCACUAAGAGCAUUGUUUGAGAAGUAUGGAGGUAGGAAGAAGGAUAAAGGGGAGAAAGAAAGAAAUAGCUCAGUAGGAAGAGAAUACGGAAUAAGCAAAUCAGGGUUGAAAAAGGACUGUGCUUAACUUUAUAAUUUUGCUUCUAAAAGUCACUUUCUUUCAAAAACAAAAACAAAAAACAAAGAAAAUAACUAUAAGCAGUGGUUCUCUUCUCCUCUGCAAGGUUCUGCAGUCUAGCUUAAGAAAAUUCCCUUGAUCUGGAAAUAAGUUAGAUAAAAAUCCCAUGGGGUAAAACUAUUGUGAAGUGAUUAUGAGCUUUCUCUCCUAAAAGGACCAGCCACCAAAACGUACAAUAGCACAAUCAACUCAGCCACUGUGAGCCGCAUCAGGCAUGUCUCAGUGGAUCCAGUGUAAGUGUUUUUACUAGCAGGGGGUAAAAACGGUAUUCCUUAGAAGAUGAGGGUUCCACAGCCUAUUUAACAUAGACAUGAGAAGCACUACCAGGCAGAAGAAGUCUAUGGCUUGACCCUAUUAGAUGAUCUUCUGAGGUGUUUAUUAAUAAGUGAUAGGUUGUGUUUUUUUUUCAAUGACAAAGCAAGGAUUUUUAUCUUUUACAAGACAUCAAAGGAGUUUGACUCUAAGUUUCUCUGUGGAGAUUUGGCUGAGAGUCUCUAGAUUAUGGUGAUAACAACACCUAAGAGAUUUAUUUAAGAAGUGCCCCUUGGCCCUUCUUUCAGAGAAUCCACAAAUCUUUAUUCAAUUCUGUCAGUCUCUGGCAAGGGAAACGCCAUCUAGUCCAGUGAACAAUUAAUAAAUGGUGCUCAGUAAGUGCUAGUUGAUGAUAAUGAUAAUAAUGAUGAGAUGAUGAUGAUGGUAAUAGACUUAUCUUGAUUCAAAAAUAAAUGUGUAAUGUAUAUGUAUAUAUAUGUUUAUGUAUAUAUAUAUGUAAAUAUAUAUGUUUCAAAUUCUCUUCAGCCUUGAAAAUGAAGAUUGCACAUUUUUCUUUACCAUAUGUAAAGGAAUGCUUUCAGUUUCUGGUUUUCUGUGUAAAAAUUCUAGGAGAUUUUAUCAUCAAUGCUUGCACUUAGUUUUAAUGAGCAGUCAUUUCUGAGCUGAACAUAAAAUGCUUCAGUAAAAUAAAUAGAAAAAGUUAUUAGUCUGUAGUUCUUGGUGCAAAAAUGAUUUUUCCCAAAAUUGUAUGGAUUAGAAAAGUAUGAUAAAAUAGUAGAUUUUUAACUCCUAUCCAAGCCAUAAAUCUCUCCUCAAUCUUUAGGAUUCUGUAAACUUUAACAUGUACUGAGUUUACUCUGGAAUACUCACAAUCACUUACUCUCCUCCAAGCUCUCUCAGCCAUGAAUAAGAUAGACAGAUUUCAUGUGUGGUUGGGAAAUUUCCUCUUAUAGGAUGGAGCUGUGCAGGCAAGAAAUAACUCUUAAGACAGUCUGGGGAAUGAGUCUAAAACAUGGGCGGACAGAGGGUAAUGUGAGAUUGUAUAGGGGGAUGUUUGGGGGCAUAAUAAAUAAAGCAAGAGUGAUGCACAGAUAUAUUUUUGUCCUAGGAAAAUAAUGUAAAUUUAGUAAAAAUAUGUUCAAUAUUUAUUCCAAUAUAUCUCACAAUAAACCAAGAGAAAUAC
rnacentral:lncRNA from 1 species